rnacentral:tRNA from 1 species
CCCACAUGGUCUAGCGGUUAGGAUUCCUGGUUUUCACCCAGGCGGCCCGGGUUCGACUCCCGGUGUGGGAACGCCGAAAUUUUAGACUGGCGUUCAGUCGAUUUAGAUUCUUCCUAACUCGGAAAAGGCAUGUUUUUAACCAAAACUGUAAUUCCAUUUCAAAGCACGAGGGACACAUCGGGGCUGAAGGGAACCAAGGAGCUACCCCUGGGGCGGGUGUGAGGUUCAAGUGUGCUCAGACCCUAGCCACCUGCGGCAGGCGGCGGAAGG